rnacentral:rRNA from 1 species
CCUGAGAAACCCAAAAGUUCGAAAGAAGAGAUUCAACGUCAGCAUGUGCAGUAUUUACGUGAGUAGUGAUGUGAGUUGCUUAAUGAGAUUUUUAAUCUUGUUAACUCUUGCACAUUUUCAUGUUUUUUUAUUGCUGUACUAUUGCCGGCGUGCACUUCUCUUCUAGUAGGACGUCCCGACCCGUUGAGCGUCAGCCUACGGCCUGGAAGGUAGCCUUUGAUACAUUAAUUUGUAUUGAAGACCUCUGGUGUCACCUGGUCUGAGUGCCCGACGGUAGAAACGACAAUAUGGUAUUGUGCCGCAUCUUGAAUGCGUCUAGCCUGUUGCAAGCUUGGUCAAAUUGUCAUUAAGUAGGCUUCGUUCCUAUGCAUGCAAUCUAGCCAGCUGUUAGCCAGCAGUGUUCUUAGACUGGCCUAUCAAUACCUGUCAGGGACGCUAUUGCUUUGGGUACUUUCAGGACCCGUCUUGAAACACGGACCAAGGAGUCUAACAUGUACGCGAGUCAUUGGGUGUAUAUUUUCUUCGGAAAAUAUAUAAAACAAACCUAAAGGCGAAAUGAAAGUGAAAGCAAGGCCUUGUGCCACCAAGGGAAGAUGGGUUAUGCAUUAUUAUAUAACCCCGCAUUCCCGGGGCGUCUCAUUCUCAUUGCGAGAGGAGGCGCACCAAG